rnacentral:lncRNA from 1 species
GGCUGUAAAAAGGAAGUCUAUUUAAGGUUUUCAAAAAUUCAAACCCUAACUUAUUUAGGUUAACAGAAAUUAAGUCAAAAGCUUCUAGAAAAAGGAAACAAAAUCAGAAAACUAAGGGAAAGUGCAAGGGAUAUGCGGCAAGGACUUAAAUUAAAAGGGAAUAUGUUUUAAAUGCAAGGAAUAGGAAAGAAGGGCUUUCCCUUGCACGGCAAGGGAAAGAAAAGGUCAAGGGAGGUACAGCUAGAUGUUUGGGAAAGGGAUAAUGUCUUAAAAUUGAAGGGAAAUAGGUUCCCUUGCAUGGCAAGGGAAAGGGAAAGUGGGACAAGUUCGGCA